rnacentral:rRNA from 1 species
GAUAUUGGCCGUCAAUGCUUUAAUGACCUUUUAAAUAGGUUCUUCUUUCAAGAAGUUCAAGGCGAAUAUUUAAUUCAUGACUUGUUGCAUGAUAUGGCACAAAAAGUUUCCGAGCAUGAUUGUUUCAUUGUGAAAAGGACGUCUGACUUCGAAAGGAUUCCUCGGAAUGUCCGGCAUUUGUCAGUACUCAGUGGCAAAGGCAAAUACAAUUCUGACUUGUCGAGCCUAUGCCAGUACAAAAAGCUCCGUACCCUUCUUUGCAACAAACCUUUGGGAAAUAAAAAAACCUCAGGUCGUUUGGUGGGAGAUUGGUGCAAUGAACUUCUGCGUAUGCGUGUGAUUGUUUGUGCGUCUUUGAAUGAGUUACCAACUAGCAUUGGCAAACUGAAGCAUCUUCGGUACCUUGAGAUAUCCAGAUCUUGUUAUGUUACCAGUUUUCCUACAACAUUCUGUAGGCUCCAUAAUUUACAGGUUUUAUGUGUCAAGAAAUGCCAGGUAGAAAGCUUGCCUAGUGACUUCAAUAGGUUGAUCAACUUAUGGAGAUUUGAAUCACAGGGAUUUAAAUAUGGUCCAAAUAUUAGAGGAUUUCCAGAAGAAUAUUAUUAUGGAGUACAUAUUGAUGCAGCCGAAGAUAAGUGUGGACUAGGAUGUAGCUUCAUAAAGAAUAUGAACCAACUUCGUGGACAUUUGGUGAUAAAUAAUGUUUACAAGCUAAGCAAGUAUCAUUUAGCAGAAGCCAAACUAAAGAAUAAGGAAUGUUUUGACAAGAUGACGCUGCAAUGGGGACAACGGGGUAAAACAUUCAGUCAGGAAAACGAGAUAGAAGUCCUUGCAGAUCUACAACCUCCUGCUAGUAUCAAGUCUCUAGUCCUUGACAAUUGCCCAGCUGUUUCUUCUCCGAGCUGGUUUCAGCCACAAAGCCUGCCAAGCUUAAUAUCAGUUUCAUUUCUUCGUUGUAAUGGACUGAAGAUACAUAAUGGCAGCACAGGUUUCUCGUCCCUGACAGAUCUAAUCAUUGAUGGGUGCUACCGUUUAUCAAGUCUCGAACAGCUUCUCCAUCCAACAUAUCUACCAGCUAUCAAGAAAAUUGCAAUAAUGAGUUGCUGGAACUUAAUAUCAGUGGGGACCGAAAGAUUUGGGGAUUUUCAUUGUCUUGAAAUAUUUAAGCUGGUGGAUUGUGGAAAAUUAAACUCCGAGAGUUUGACUGCACCCUCUCUGAUGAAGCUCGUGCUACAUGGUCGCUGUGAGAAUCUCAUGAACAGUAUCCAAUGCUGCUCUCUCACCAACUUUUUCCUGUCAUCCUGCCCUCUCACGUCCAUCCAACUGAAAAUGUGGAACCUUCCAGCUCUACAGGAGUUGCACAUUUCAGAUUGUCGAUCUCUUGCAUCCAUUGGACAGUCUGGACAUGUCUUCACCAACCUCAUUUACCUAACCAUCAGCAACUGUGAAGGACUGUCAACCAUUGAGAGUAUUCCAUUUACCUCUCUACAGGAACUGCGCAUUUCAAAUUGUAGAUCCCUUACAUCUAUUGGACAAAGUGAACAGGUCUUCAGAAACCUUAUUUCUCUAACCAUGAAGAACUGCACAGAACUGUCCACCAUUGAUGGUAUGCUAGAAAAAGAAUAUCUACCUGCCAUUAAGAGUAUUACAUUUGACUGCUGUCCCAAAUUGUUCAUAUACGGUAAAAGGUUUGGGGAUUUUUCUUCUCUGAAGGAUUUGAAAGUUUCUAGAUGCCAUGGAAUCAACUGGGGGGGACUGGUGUUACCAUCUUCCCUCCAAAUUCUCCAUUUGGAGUCAUGUGGAGAUAUCUCUUCAUUUAUUCCCAGCGGCUUAGAAAACCUUCAAUCCCUAGUUUCA